AGGGAGUUAGUAUAAUAAUACCAUUGACUUAGGAUCAAUAAAUAAGAAAUCCUUACCCCCUA
rnacentral:tRNA from 1 species